rnacentral:rRNA from 1 species
UACAGAGGUGGCAAGCGUUGUUCGGAAUUACUGGGCGUAAAGGGCGCGUAGGCGGUCUUGUAAGUCUCGUGUGAAAUCCCUCGGCUUAACUGAGGAACUGCACGGGAUACUGCUUGACUUGAGUUCGGGAGAGGGAAGCGGAAUUCCGGGUGUAGCGGUGAAAUGCGUAGAUAUCCGGAGGAACACCGGUGGCGAAGGCGGCUUCCUGGACCAACACUGACGCUGAGUGAGCGAAAGCCAGGGGAGCAAACGGGG